UACACAGGGAGAGACACGGGACCACCGACUUGCCUCAUGCACGCAUGGAGGCUGUGCCUACUCGCGAGUAAAGCCGUGUGCUACCUUCGCGUGUACGACCCGGUCGAUGCAAGCAUUACGGUCGCUGCUCUCGGAGAGCUGGACUGCCAGUUGCCAGGUUCCACGACGACCUUUUUCUUGAGUCUUGCACCUUUGCUACCCCACUAUGACUCAACGCAGCUGACGCGAGUCUUCGCGGGGUUAUCAAGACUACGCGUAGCGCAUUACAUGAUCACCGCCUACAUCCUUAAGUUGUUCCUCACCUCACUGACGCGGGACCGCGGUAGCGCAACGGCAUCCACCUCGCCGGUGCACGCAGGAAGCCGACCAAGAUGCGCUGCUGCCAAGCAGCUGGCCGCGGUGGCGGGUAUGGUGCAUAUUCUACAGCUGCAUCAUACUCAACGAACGAUGCGCGCCUUUCUUGCCGCGGCGGAGAGGGCCCUGGCCCCAGUCAUGGCCUCCCGUGGAGAUGCAUGGAGCGUUUUGGAGCGCCGUGGACAGAAAGACGGCGAGGCUUGCAGCACCUCACCCGCCUCUGUGCGGCCGAUGGCGUUGCAGGUGCUCUUCCUCCUCGAGGUGUACGUGAAUGCGCGCGUGCGUGUGGCAGCGCCGCAUACACCGCUGUGGCUGCUGGGCAUGGUUUCUCAUACUCCGUGGAUCUCCUUUACGUUGUCUGAGCUGCUACACGUGUACAGUCGACUCUUUCCAGCUGCCAGCGCUCACCGACCGGCGGGGUGCGCUGCAGACGUCUCUGCGGCAUUCCUGGUCCAGGAGUUGCUCACCGAGGACAUCCUCUACCGUGCCGGGGGCGCAGAAAGGGAGGGCGAUGCACGCUGUCGAUGCGCACCACCUGCGGCUGGAGCAGCAGACGCUGCUGUCGACGCUUCGCUCAGCAGCAGUGUCUUUUCGGUGGCGGUACCGAACAGAUGCCGCGUGUGGAGAAGACGGUCGCCUGAGGAGCAGUACGUUCUACUGCGCUGUACCGUCUGGCGUCUUGCACAACAGCCAACGGAGAGAGCGCGAGACGCAGACGCCAGUGAGCUGCUGCGCUUUCUGACACCCUCUCUGUUUUGCCAACUGUCGGCGGAGUUCGGCGGUCGAAUGCGCGGCUCUGCGCUGCGGUGGUGGAUGAAGAUGCUCCCGAGGUCUGCAGUGGAGAGAUGCGACGGGAUGGACUCAAGGGAGAGUCACGCACUUCGUGAAGGCGCAGUUGGCGAGGCCGUUCAGCUUUGCAUUGCCCUCCUGCAGCUGCUCUAUACCCAGUACGUCGCUGCUGGGGAGGAGGCGAGCUUGUCGACGUAUUCUGCGGUCGCGUGCCACACAGAGGAUUCUCUCGGUGCCAGACAAGGUGCUGGAGUGCUCGUUUCGGUGCAGCGGCUCGUCGCCUGCCUGCGCACGGUGGCCUCGCUAGUCGCCAAUCACAUGGGGGAUGAGAGGGAGUGGGAGCUGCUAGCUCUGCUACUCGACGUGCACGCUCCCUCCUCCUGCACUACUACUGGCGGCUCUUUUGCACAUUGGCUGGGGACGGAGGCGCAUCAGAGCGGCGAUGCGUCGCACAUGUGGCGAUGUCUGUCUACGGCACAGGAGAACGCGCGGGAUGUGCUGCUGGCACGAUGGUGCCACUUCUGGGCCCACCACAGAAGCACGAACAGGUUUGGGAGCCCUAUGGCGAAGAGCAAGUGGCCAUCGGAGACCCUCGCGCGCUCUAAGGAGGACGAAGGCGUGACGCAUCUUCUUUGCGAACUCGCUGGGGGCGCGCUGCUGUUGCACUGGUGCAUCGCUAACCUGUUGGAUGAGUGGCUGCAGCGCAGUGACCAAGCCAGUCAACUACGUGGAUGUCCAACGUCGCCUCCUGCUCACCUCACUUCGCCAAGGUUUCCCUUUCAGCAGAUAUGGCGAGAGAUGCUUGCAGAGACGGUAGCGGAACUUGACGGCUCUCACCAGAGAGCAGCCGCUGGUGUGUCGCCAUACCCCGUCAUGAAUUUGGAGACGGAUCUUCUCGUGAUCAUGGCGGAGUCGCUCGACCCGAACAGGACGGCGCGGGUGCGGAGUGAUGAUGCACAUCCGGUGCCUCUUCUGGGGUCCUUGGCCGACGCGAUCGGCGAGUCCGUGCUACCGGAGGCUCUCUGCGCUGCACUGGAGCAGGCGCAAACGCACAGCACCGCCGCGCCCAGUAGGACCAUCCCCUCGUACGCGGAAGCAUGGGCGCAGCGGGAGCGGUGGCGGCGCCGUAUGUGGUGGGCGGCGAGCACCUCUGCUCCCGGCACGUCGAUGUCGCUGGAGGCUGCUCAGGUGCUGCUUCUCAACGCGUUGUUCUCCCCGAGUGCCAACAGUAGCACGUGCGCCUCGGCAUCUCUCGCCUCGCUGCGGAGGUUGUCGGUGCGGUGGCCGUACCACAUGCUAGCAGUGUGUCUACGCAGUUCUGCCUCCCCGCAGCAGCCCGGCGCGACCCACCAUGCAGCAGCGGAGGGUUGCGGGAGCGAGUGGCGCGCGCGCAUCCCGCCAUGGGAGAUGAAAGACAUCCGCAAUCUCGACGCUGAGCACCACGCACUCGGGUCACUUACACCGUGCGGCCGCGCGAACCCUACAGAGGAGCCACCGAUACCGGCAAUCGAAGAGCCGCCGUCGACGCAGUGGUCGCUCUUUGAGUGUGCCAAAGGGCUCUCCAACACGCUUAUGUGUAGCAUCGAGUCUCUCAUCGCGUGGCAGCAGCGCUCUGGCGUGUUACCGGCGAACACGCUGCGUGGCAGAGGUGAGGAUGGGAGGUUCUUGCCGCCUGACUUGUGUGGCGCGACAGCGGCGCCCUACCGCAUGUGGUACCGCGACGACACACCGAUGACUCUUGCCAGAGGACAUUUUUUAGCGCCCAGGCCGUUCGCAGACCCUAUCAGGGGCUUCGUCGCGAGUGACUUUGCUGAAAGCGUGCCAGGAGCGGCCUCCGCACAUGGCAGGGACGUGCUUGUGCCACUGUGCGAGACGGUGGCGUUGCUGACAAGAGCAGCGAUGCCGCUGAACGCGAGCUGCGCGUCGCUUUUUGCACGACCUCCUAUACGGUCUUCACCGUGCUGGACAUUUUGCACCGACAGCGCAGCAUCGUCGUCGCUGUUCGGGCCUCUGCCCCCGCUGCGGCCCUUUGCUGCUGCAGAGACCGUCUACGCCGAGCUGUGUUUUCGCUUUUGGGAGUGCUGCCAGCGCCUGGCGGAAGUUCUCCUCCCUCUGUGCGCGGUGUCGAAGCCGAACUCGCGUGGCGACGAAGAUGUAUCCACCUAUGCCACAGCGGCGGAAGCUCUAGCGAUUGCCGGCGCGGUGGAGUGGCGCCUCUUCAGCCGCUACGUCAGUAACGCAUCCCCGCCGACGGAGUCAUCCUGCUGCACGUAUGCACUCGCUGCUGCCCAGGACCGGGCAUUGGCACUGCUCCUGCCGCUGAUGUGGCGCUGUGUGCACUGCUACGCCGCGGAGCCGAGCCCGGCGACAUCACGGAUGAGCAAGUGCCAUCGGCCGAUUCGGGGGGUCCUAUUAGACGUGUGGCGUCUCCAGCUGUUUGCAACUCACUUGUGCGGUAAGCUACCCCUACCCGCCAGGUGCGAGCGGGCUCAAGAGCGUCUAUGGUGGUGCUUGCAGGCUGCGCUCUCAGACGCUCUGCCUGUGGAGCAACGCGUGUCUCUGAGUGAUGAGCCGUCUGUGGCGUCAGAAGACCAAGCCGCAUUGGAGCUGGCCAUGGGUGAUCUGAAAGCAAGCUUACGCGAGUGGCACUGGCUCGACGGCACCACGCAAAGCACGGAGCGUCCGCUCAUCUUCCUGCGCGACACCGUCACCUCAAUGUGUGAUGGCCUCGACGCAGCACCCGUGGUGAGUCGUGAUGGAGACACGGCAGUGACCUCACCGAUGGACACCUACGUGCAGCAACUUCUCCCUUCCCACCCGUUUGUGCUCGCUGGCCCCAGCCGCGUGCGCACGCAUCUCCUGUGCGGCGUGCGACUUGUCGUCUUGACAUGGAUGCACAUCCUCCUGCUCGAGAGUAUCGUGGCGUAUCACCCGCGGAUCUUUUCGCACGACUGCACACAGCAGCUGAGCUGGGUACGGAGGCGCAUAAGGGCAUACGAGCAAGGGCUCUGCCUUGCAGUACCUCCCACAGCACUCUCCUGCGACCACAGCAUUGCGCACCCCACGGGAUCGUCAACAAGAGCGGAGUCGAGGCGUCACGGCAUGCUUGCCGAAUGCCUCAUGCGAGAGCUCGAUGCCGCCGUAUCUGAGCUGAUGACGUGGUCGAGAGGUCCUCCUUGUAUCUCCGCCCCAUGAGGCCGCCGAGCUGCCUCACCAUCAGCUUGCCUCUCUCGCGCGCGCUCUACGCCGUUCUUCCUCUCCCGUGACUCCCACGAUUACUCUGUGAGAUGUGUGCGUUGUAGGCAGCCCUCUAUCCCUCCCUCUCUCGUUUCCUUUUGCGCCGACACCCAUCCGCCAUUGUGCAGGGGUGGGGGUAGAGGGAACCGCCUUUUCUCUCUCUGCGUUACUGUGUUGCCACAUGCGCGGAGACGGCUCAUGCUGCUUUUUUUCCCUUUCUUGGCUGUUGGUUUCUCACCUUUUCAGUUCCUUUCAUCGACCCCCUUCCUCUCUCCACCCCCUUUCCAGAGGGCCCUCUCCGCCAUCCGCGUGGUGUGGAAGGGGGCUCGGACAUGUAGAGAUGGGAGGGGAUAGAUCAUCGGAGGCUGCUGCUGCUGCUGCUCCAUCGAGUACUCUCCAGAUAUUUGACAACACAACGCGGGUGAAAAACAACAAUAAUGACACAUGGUCCCGUUGCUCGUGUAGAAGUGCCGUCUGCAGACGAGACGAGCGACCUUCCUUGUGCCGUAGCGUGUUCCUCCUGAAUCCCUCCAUUUAUUCGCCUCUCCUCGGCAGGGCAUCGCUAUGGUGGUGUUCGCCUUCCAUGCUGUCGGCUUGUCUUGUGGUCCUCGCUCCUGUCUCUGAGGUGCACUCUGCGUUUCUCUUACCCACCACAUGCUUGUGUUGACCCUCGUUGCCCUUUGCCCCUUCUCUCAUGCACGGAUGAUGGCGCACUCUCCACUUCUGUAUCCCACCGCCUCACAG
rnacentral:misc_RNA from 1 species